rnacentral:rRNA from 1 species
UACGUAGGGGGCAAGCGUUGUCCGGAAUUAUUGGGCGUAAAGAGCGUGUAGGCGGCUCGGUAAGUCUGCUGUGAAAGUCCAAGGCUCAACCUUGGAAUGCCGGUGGAUACUGUCGGGCUAGAGUCCGGAAGAGGCGAGUGGAAUUCCCGGUGUAGCGGUGAAAUGCGCAGAUAUCGGGAGGAACACCAAUGGCGAAGGCGAAUCCCUGGAAAAUACCUGACACUGAGGCACGAAAGCUAGGGGAGCAAACAGG